GUUGAACGCUGGCGGCGUGCCUAAUACAUGCAAGUCGAGCGAACAGAUGAGGAGCUUGCUCCUCUGACGUUAGCGGCGGACGGGUGAGUAACACGUGGAUAACCUACCUAUAAGACUGGGAUAACUUCGGGAAACCGGAGCUAAUACCGGAUAAUAUAUUGAACCGCAUGGUUCAAUAGUGAAAGACGGUUUUGCUGUCACUUAUAGAUGGAUCCGCGCCGCAUUAGCUAGUUGGUAAGGUAACGGCUUACCAAGGCGACGAUGCGUAGCCGACCUGAGAGGGUGAUCGGCCACACUGGAACUGAGACACGGUCCAGACUCCUACGGGAGGCAGCAGUAGGGAAUCUUCCGCAAUGGGCGAAAGCCUGACGGAGCAACGCCGCGUGAGUGAUGAAGGUCUUCGGAUCGUAAAACUCUGUUAUUAGGGAAGAACAAAUGUGUAAGUAACUAUGCACGUCUUGACGGUACCUAAUCAGAAAGCCACGGCUAACUACGUG
rnacentral:rRNA from 1 species